GCGGCAUCGCCGCGGCGCACGGUUUGCUGGCGCUCCUCUGCGCGUCACAGCGAAAUGACACUAUAGAGUCGCUCCCUGCCUGUUGGCUUAAACGAGCAGCGCGCACCACGACUCCCAGGGACGCACCAGUGUGGAGGACAUGGGACAAACGCUCCUACUGUGUAACACUACUCCUAUUGGCAGCGAGGAAUAAAAGAUGUGCUUUUGCCAACCAAACACCGAGGAACAGAUGUAUGAUUUGAAGGAAGGAGACCAGAAUAGAGACAAGUGAAACAGCACCAAACAGUCGCACCAUCUGUCAGUCUCCGUCCUUUUGGCUCGCUCGCUGUUUCAUCAACUGCAUGACUGGGAACGUCUCAU
ensembl:lncRNA